rnacentral:rRNA from 1 species
GUGUCAGCAGCCGCGGUAAAACGUAGGGGGCGAGCGUUAUCCGGAUUUACUGGGCGUAAAGCGCACGUAGGCGGCAUUGUAAGUUGGGCGUGAAAGCUCCCGGCUCAACUGGGAGAGGUCGUUCAAUACUGCAAUGCUUGAGGUUGACAGAGGAGAGUAGAAUUCCCGGUGUAGUGGUGGAAUGCGUAGAUAUCGGGAGGAAUACCAGUGGCGAAGGCGGCUCUCUGGGUCAUACCUGACGCUGAGGUGCGAAAGCGUGGGGAGCGAACGGGAUUAGAUACCCCGGUAGUCCACGCCGUAAACGAUGGAUACUAGGUGUGGGAGGUUAUAUACCCCUUCCGUGCCGAAGCUAACGCGUUAAGUAUCCCGCCUGGGGACUACGGCCGCAAGGUUAAAACUUAAAUGAAUUGACGGGG